UACGGAGGGCGCGAGCGUUGUUCGGAAUCACUGGGCGUAAAGCGCGUGUAGGCGGCCGAGCAAGUCGGAUGUGCAAUCCCGAGGCUCAACCUCGGAACUGCAUUCGAAACUGCUCGGCUCGAGUCCCGGAGAGGAUGGCGGAAUUCCCGGUGUAGGGGUGAAAUCCGUAGAUAUCGGGAGGAACACCAGUGGCGAAGGCGGCCAUCUGGACGGUGACUGACGCUGAGACGCGAAAGCGUGGGGAGCAAACAGG
rnacentral:rRNA from 1 species